GGUUGGUCCCGGCGGGGGAAGGAGAAAGUGAGACUCGGUGUCAUCACCAAUCCGUCGCCAGAAGGGGAGGAAACUGGAAUCCAGCAGCGGCGAGCAGCAGCUGGGCGGUCACAUCUGGAAAUGGAAAGCCGACCUCCCCCUCCUCCUCCACCUCUUCCUCCUCCUCCUCCUCCUCCUCUCACCCAGGAUCACUUCCGAAACCACUUGGCCUUCAGCCCCUGCCUCGGCCAGAGGUUUCAUUUUUAACUGAAUAUUUACGAAAGCUGAAAGCGUGCGAGGGGGGUGGGGUGGAAAUAGCGGCUGCUUCUUUUCCAAGGAUUUAUUUAAUGGGGAUGUGUUCAAGGCAAGACCGAAUUCAGAAGGAUAUCGACGUCGUGAUCCAGAAGUCCAGAGCUGAGGACUGCCUGUUUGCAGAUUUCAGGUACUCAGACUCCACCUUUACUUUUACCUAUGUUGGCGGCCCCAGAAGGACAACUGUGCAGACUACAAAGCUUCGGAAAACCGGAGAGGCUGAGUCGACUAAUCGUGUUGUUGCACGUUAGAAACGCUUGCAUUGCCUGACUCUGAAACCAGAAGGGCGGCCGAAUGGCCUUCACCCUCCAUUAACCCUCGCCUCCUUCAGAAGCCAGUGCCUCUGGAAAUGCCUGGAUCUGCGACCCCAGCCUGAGCCUAGUAGGGCCCAAGGGAAGCUGAACGCCCCGACGGCUCUCAUGGGCACCGGCAACAGUUUUCCGUUUGUGCCUACUCCACCUGCUGUCUUUGUUGGGUCAGCGAACAUCGCCUCCCUCUACCGCUCAAUCAGCAAAAGGGACCGCCCUUGAGGACCUCACCCGCGGCUCACUCCCCUCCCAACUUCGCGGGCAUCGCCUCCGGUCGCCUCUUCCGAAGGCCUAACGAGCAUGUUAGCUGCGAACGGAGGUGAGGAGGCUCCGCUGACUGACCGGUGCCCAUGUCCAGGGCACGCACAAACGCCAUGACUUGGCUUGGCCUCUCUCUUAGUUAUUCACAAGCUCAGCCCGAUAGGCACCUCUGGGGCGGCGACGGCAAAGAGGGUGCGCUUAUUAAGUGCAGCUCCACGGGGACUGGCCUCUGCACGGCUGUGUACACCUGAGCGAGACGCUCAGUCGCUCUCUAAAGCCGCUUCUGCGGAUGACAGACACGGAGAUAAACGUGAGAGGUGGCCCACCACGACUUGCCCUCCUUUGCCCGGGUUUGCCCCUCGCUGCGGAGGCUGUUCUACAUCUGGCCCUUGGAGCAGGCCGGCUGACAGCGUGGUAAAGGAAGAUUUCUGCGGGAGGGCGGCCAGUGCAAAACAAUUCCCUGACCGGGAAUCGAACCCGGGCCGUGGCGCUUUCAGCACCGAAUCCUAGCCACUAGACAACCAUGCAGAUGCGGAAAGCUGCUUUCUCUCCCUUCUUCGACCUGAAGCGACACUUUCCUGUGCUCUAGGAGGACUUGGGUCUUGUGAGAGUCUCCCUUUGCUCCUGGAGUCGUCUCACAAGGCCGUUCACUCCCUGCUUUCUUCAAAAAAAGAACCUGCAGGCGACACACCAAGGGCUCCACGAGGGAGUCCUGAGUACUGGAGCGAGUUGCGGCCACGCGGCCGCAGCUCACCACUGGCCUAGAGAUGCCCUUUGCCAGGCGGCAGCAACUGACAAGAUGGUCGCGGGUCGCCGGGUCCGGAGCCGCCCACCAGGUUGCCAGGAGGAGGCGGGAGCGGGGAGGCGCCCGAGGUGAGACGGGGGCACCCUCUGCAUCAUAAAGGACCCAGACCCCGGCACCCUCAACAUCAUAAGGAAUCAGACGGAUGCGGAAACCGAGGCGGGCUGGAUAGGAAACUCUUUCCAGGAAGGCUCCGGGGCACUCAACUGGUCUCCAACCUUCCCCUGCAACCUGUGACGCCUGCCAUUUUCCCAUUUUAGGCGAUGGCAACGCAACCCCUCCGUUUGCUCUGGGCAAAACUUCGAGAGUUCCCUCUGAAGCUGGAGCUUUUUCCUCAGAUCCAAGAUCCAAUUGGUCACCAAUUCGUGAUUUCCGUCGGCCAAGUGCGUGGGCAUUGAUCUACACGCGAGUUUCUCCACCUCUGCCGAAUGGCUACUUCGGGGUGGGGGAGGGGCCCUCCCGCCGUGGAUUGCAAGGUGUUUAGCAGCAUCUGUCUCCUCCGCUGACUAGACACAUGCCAGGGGGAUAACAUUCUCCCUCCCGCUUCCCCCAGCCGCGGCCUAGUGUCCCAGCGGGGUUGGGAGAGGCAUGUGAGGGCGAAGUUGCCCCCUGUUGAGAACCAUUGCUGCGCGUAGUCCUUCUCUCUGAACUUGUGCAGAGGACUCUCCAGGUGAAGGCUCAAGGGUGGAUCCAGCUCGAGACACCCUCGCUCCCCCUCACAGUCGGACCUUAGGAUUUAGGCUUUAACAUCUCCACAUCAUGAGAUUCGAAACCUUUAGGUCUUGUCUUCCGUUCUGUCCUCCAAAUCGGCCUCUUCCGAGCCUGUUGACCAGGGCCAGCCGGGCAGAGGGCUGGGCUCGCUCAACGAGGCUCCUCUCGCACCUCCUGGAGCUUCAGGCUUCUUUCCGUUGCAGAGAAGCUUUAUGGGCCAAUUCGUUCGGCAUCCCCGGGGGCAGGUGCGCGGUGCGCGGGGAAGAAGAGGAUUUGACUGCGGUUCUCCACCCCCGGCGCCCAACCUCCACCCCGGUGCGCGCGCUCUUCCAGGCUCCUGCUGGUCCCACUUGCCAGGAGUUAGGUCUCAGGUCAGCCUGAGCUCCUGAGACGCCCAGGCCCGGAAAGACACGUAGGGGAAACCAUCUGCUCACUUCUGUCCUGUCCGGAAGGGAUCCCUUUCUGACGGGAAAGAAAGGCG
rnacentral:lncRNA from 1 species